rnacentral:rRNA from 1 species
CCUACGGGUGGCAGCAGUCGAGAAUCAUUCACAAUGGGGGAAACCCUGAUGGUGCGACGCCGCGUGGGGGAAUGAAGGUCUUCGGAUUGUAAACCCCUGUCAUGUGGGAGCAAACCAAAAAGAUAGUACCACAAGAGGAAGAGACGGCUAACUCUGUGCCAGCAGCCGCGGUACUACAGAGGUCUCAAGCGUGGUUCGGAAUCACUGGGCGUAAAGCGUGCGGAGGCUGAUUGGUAUGUCGUGUGUGAAAGGGGCGGGCUCAACCCGCGGACGGCACAUAAUACUGCGGAACUAGAGAAAUGGAGGGGGAGCCGGAAUUCUAGGUGUAGCAGUGAAAUGCGUAGAGAUCGAGAGGAACACUCGUGGCGAAGGCAGGUUCCUGGACAUUAACUGACGCUGAGGCACGAAGGCGAGGGGAGCGAAAGGGAUUAGAUACCCCAGUAGUC